CAACUGGGCAGAGGGAUCCUUCUCCUGUCAUCACUGUGGGAACAACUGGAAUACAAAGACACUAUGCUCUCCAAGUGAAAGGAAAUCUCACAGAAUGAUGGGAGAAAGGAUCACCUGGUUCUAGAGGGUGCCAGGGCAGUCUCCUAAAGGAAUGCUGCAUGGUGGUGAGGAGUUUAAUCUGCAGCUAAAGCCUCUUCUGCUUCUCUCUCCUUGUGACUGAAGCAUCAAAGAGCACUCUGCACCGGGGCGAAAGUAUCAGACAGAUUUGUUAUGGGUUCUGAUGUUCGUAAGCAGUGAUGGCAGACAGAGACUUGUACCUGAACAACCCACUGUGGAGUUCACUUCAUCCUACUUGUUGCCUUCCCAGUCUCAGCUGUUGUUUGUUCAAGUUCUGCUCUCCAGAGGCCAACCGUGUCCAGCCCACUGACACGGGGCAGCUUUGGAGAACGUGCACAGCCCUUCUGUGGCACAUCAGCCCCGCUGCACCUGCACAUUCUCGGUGUGAAGUGGGUUGCUGUGGGCAAACCCAAGGCCUGUGCUGGUGCUUCUGGUUGCUCACACACACCAGAGGCAGUAGAGCUUGACACAAGUGCCUGCCUG